GCAGGGUUAGUUUAGCAGUAAAACUCCUGCCUUCCAAGCAGGCGUCACGGGUGCGACUCCCGUACCUUGCUCCA
rnacentral:tRNA from 1 species